rnacentral:rRNA from 1 species
CCUACGGGGGGCAGCAGUGGGGAAUAUUGGGCAAUGGGCGCAAGCCUGACCCAGCAACGCCGCGUGAAGGAAGAAGGCUUUCGGGUUGUAAACUUCUUUUGUCAGGGAAGAGUAGAAGACGGUACCUGACGAAUAAGCCACGGCUAACUACGUGCCAGCAGCCGCGGUAAUACGUAGGUUGCAAGCGGUGUCCGGAUUUACUGGGUGUAAAGGGCGUGUAGCCGGGUUGACAAGUCAGAUGUGAAAUCCUGCGGCUUAACCGCAGAACUGCAUUUGAAACUGUUGAUCUUGAGUACUGGAGAGGUAGAUGGAAUUUCUGGUGUAGCGGUGAAAUGCGUAGAUAUUAGGAGGAACACCAGUGGCGAAGGCGGUCUGCUGGACAGCAACUGACGGUGAGGCGCGAAAGCGUGGGGAGCAAACAGGAUUAGAUACCCCUGUAGUC